rnacentral:sRNA from 1 species
CAGAGAUUAAAUGCCAGUUUCAGCUUUGAGACACCCUCCCCGAGUUAUUGGGCUCUUGGGUUGCUGCCUGUGUUUAUCCCACCGUGUGCAGUGAGAGUUGAGGGUUUUUAUUGUUAUUUUUCCCUCCGUCGAGGGUUGCAUAAUGAUUAACAGUUGGUCAGAGAGGUCGUUCAAGGGGCACAGUUUGCUUCGAUUCCACACAGACCCGAACAUGGCCUGGCUUCUCAUUCGGAGCAGUGUCCCUUGCUGGAGAAACAGAACCUGUCUGAGGAUUUCUGUCUUGAACUGAUAAGGUUGCGGUAGGGCACAAUGGGAUUUUUUUUCCCCCUUAGGCUCCCAGAGUCCAGCAGAGCAGUAUCCAUGUGGACUUCCGCUGUCCUGCCAGAAUUCCAGGAAACUAAGGCAGAAUGGAAAGUUCCAGGACCCCCAAUGUGCCCGUCCCAGAAGUAUAUUGUGGGCCAACACUGUAUGCCUCUGUUCUGGCCCUAAGGGUGCAAUUAAGUCCCUGGGUGAUUCCUACUGAGACCGAAUAGCACCGGAAGUGCAAAAUAAAGCCGCAUUCCUUGGUCUGAGGGAGAAGCAAGGAUCAGUGUCAGCAGUUUUUCCUCCCACAAUGGUGAAACAGCAUUUCCUCAAGAGCGAGAUCCUGUUUUCAGUUCUGCACCGUGGUGUCUGACGCACCGAGAACGCGCCGAUGGAAGGAACUUAAGGACGGUUGUUUCAGCUCACAUGUCAAGGGUACAGGCUACCGUUCUGGGGAAGUCACGGCAGCAGAGACUGAGGUAGCCCUUCACGUUGCAGAGAAGCAGCAAAGGGUAAGGGAUGAAUGCGAGCAUGUUAGCAAUCAGUCCCCUUCUGCUUCCUCAGGUGCAGAGCCCACAAUUAGGUGGAUCUUCCUGCAACACUUUACGUAGCCAGGACACCUACCCCACCCAUACUCAAGGUCCCUUCUCCCAGACGAUUCCAGAUUCUGUCAAGUUGACCAUCUUCAUACUUUUUGAUAGAAAGAAAACAUCCACGUCCUUCAUUUGAUUGGACAAAACAAUUCACAUAGACCCACCUCUUCUGCCUGGGUAGGUCCUGCUCCCAGAAGAUGACUCUGAGACUAAUGAUUUAUUAAUAAAUGACUUGGCUACAAGCCUCAACUCA